rnacentral:rRNA from 1 species
GGGGAAUCUUGCGCAAUGGGCGAAAGCCUGACGCAGCGACGCCGCGUGGGGGAUGAAGGCCUUCGGGUUGUAAACCUCUUUCGGCAGGGACGAAACUGACGUGUACCUGCAGAAGAAGCGCCGGCUAACUACGUGCCAGCAGCCGCGGUAAUACGUAGGGCGCGAGCGUUGUCCGGAAUUAUUGGGCGUAAAGAGCUCGUAGGCGGCCGGUCGCGUCUGCCGUGAAAGCCCACGGCUCAACCGUGGGACUGCGGUGGAUACGGGCCGGCUAGAGGCAGGCAGGGGCAAGUGGAAUUCCUGGUGUAGCGGUGAAAUGCGCAGAUAUCAGGAGGAACACCGGUGGCGAAGGCGGCUUGCUGGGCCUGUCCUGACGCUGAGGAGCGAAAGCGUGGGGAGCGAAC